ACCAAAUAGAUACCCAGGUAGUCCACGCCCUAAACCGAUGCGAACUGGAUGUUGGGUACAUUACGGUACUCAGUGUCGAAAGCUAAACGCGUUAAGUUCGCCGCCUGGGGAGUACGGUCGCAAGACUGAAACUCAAAGGAAUUGACGGGGGCCCGGCACAAGCGGUGGAGUAUGUGGUUUAAUUCGAUGCAACGCGAAGAACCUUACCUGGCCUUGACAUCUGUCGAAUCCUGCAGAGAUGCGGGAGUGCCGCAAGGAACGACAAGACAGGUGCUGCAUGGCUGUCGUCAGCUCGUGUCGUGAGAUGUUGGGUUAAGUUCCCGCAACGAGCGCAACCCUUGUCCCUAGUUGCCAGCACGUAAUGGUGGGAACUCUAGGGAGACUGCCGGUGACAAACCGGAGGAAGGUGGGGAUGACGUCAAGUCCUCAUGGCCCUUAC
rnacentral:rRNA from 1 species